rnacentral:rRNA from 1 species
GACGAACGCUGGCGGCGUGCUUAACACAUGCAAGUCGAGCGGUAAGGCUCCUUCGGGAGUACACGAGCGGCGAACGGGUGAGUAACACGUGAGCAAUCUGCCCUUCACUCUGGGAUAACUUCCGGAAACGGAAGCUAAUACCGAAUACGACCACUUCAGGCAUCUGAUGGUGGUGGAAAGUUGCGGCGGUGAAGGAUGAGCUCGCGGCCUAUCAGCUUGGUGGUGAGGUAACGGCUCACCAAGGCUUCGACGGGUAGCCGGCCUGAGAGGGUGACCGGCCACACUGGGACUGAGACACGGCCCAGACUCCUACGGGAGGCAGCAGUGGGGAAUAUUGGACAAUGGGCGAAAGCCUGAUCCAGCAACGCCGCGUGAGGGAUGACUGCCUUCGGGUUGUAAACCUCUUUCAGCGGGGACGAAGCGAAAGUGACGGUACCCGCAGAAGAAGCACCGGCCAACUACGUGCCAGCAGCCGCGGUAACAC